rnacentral:piRNA from 1 species
CAGAAGCUAGGUCAGGAUGAAGAC